UCCGGUUUGUCACCGGCAGUCUCCUAUGAGUCCCCGACAUAACUCGCUGGCAACAGGACACAAGGGUUGCGCUCGUUGCGGGACUUAACCCAACAUCUCACGACACGAGCUGACGACAACCAUGCACCACCUGUGAACCGGCCCCAAAGGGGAAACCACAUUUCUGCGGCGGUCCGGUCCAUGUCAAGCCUUGGUAAGGUUCUUCGCGUUGCAUCGAAUUAAUCCGCAUGCUCCGCCGCUUGUGCGGGCCCCCGUCAAUUCCUUUGAGUUUUAGCCUUGCGGCCGUACUCCCCAGGCGGGGCGCUUAAUGCGUUAGCUGCGGCACAGAGAACCGGAGAGGUCCCCCACACCUAGCGCCCAACGUUUACAGCGUGGACUAC
rnacentral:misc_RNA from 1 species